rnacentral:rRNA from 1 species
GGGGAAUAUUGCGCAAUGGGGGAAACCCUGACGCAGCAAUACCGCGGGAGUGAAGAAGGUUUUCGGAUCGUAAACCUCUGUCAGAAGGGAAGAAACCGCACCGUGCUAAUCAGCGGUGCCUUGACGGUACCUUCAAAGGAAGCACCGGCUAACUCCGUGCCAGCAGCCGCGGUAAUACGGGGGGUGAAGCGUUAAUCGGAAUUACUGGGCGUAAAGCGCACGUAGGCUGCUUUGUAAGUCAGGGGUGAAAUCCCACGGCUCAACCGUGGAACUGCCUUUGAUACUACUUAGCUUGAAUCCGGGAGAGGGUGGCGGAAUUCCAGGUGUAGGAGUGAAAUCCGUAGAUAUCUGGAGGAACAUCAGUGGCGAAGGCGGCCACCUGGACCGGUAUUGACGCUGAGGUGCGAAAGCGUGGGGAGCAAACA